rnacentral:rRNA from 1 species
GCUUGCUAUUUUGCUGACGAGUGGCGGACGGGUGAGUAAUGCUUGGGAAUUUGCCUUGUUGUGGGGGACAACAGUUGGAAACGACUGCUAAUACCGCAUAAUGUCUUCGGACCAAAGGUGGCCUCUAUUUAUAUGCUAUCGCAACAAGAUGAGCCCAAGUGGGAUUAGCUAGUUGGUAAGGUAAUGGCUUACCAAGGCGACGAUCCCUAGCUGGUCUUAGAGGAUGACCAGCCACACUGGAACUGAGACACGGUCCAGACUCCUACGGGAGGCAGCAGUGGGGAAUAUUGCACAAUGGAGGAAACUCUGAUGCAGCCAUGCCGCGUGUGUGAAGAAGGCUUUCGGGUUGUAAAGCACUUUCAGCGAGGAGGAAAGGGUGUUGCUUAAUACGCAACAUCUGUGACGUUACUCGCAGAAGAAGCACCGGCUAACUCCGUGCCAGCAGCCGCGGUAAUACGGAGGGUGCAAGCGUUAAUCGGAAUUACUGGGCGUAAAGCGCGCGUAGGU